rnacentral:rRNA from 1 species
GACGAACGCUGGCGGCGUGCCUAACACAUGCAAGUCGAACGGAAAGUCCCGGCUUGCUGGCUACUGGGUUGGUGAAGGGGGGGGUAAUGCGCGUGGGAUCUGACCUACUCCUCGGGAGAAGUCCGGGUAACUGGUUCUAUUUUCGGGUAGAAGCCAUUUUGAGUGUGAAUGGUGGAAAGUUGGUUUGGUGUAGGGUGAGGUUGCGGCCUAACAGCUUGGUGGUGGGGUAAUGGCCUACCAAGGCGGCGACGGGUAGCCGGCCUGGGAAGGUGGACGGCCACAGUGGGACUGAGACACGGCCCAGACUCCUACGGGAGGCAGCAGUGGGGAAGAUUGAACAAUGGGCGCAAGCCUGAUGCAGCGCCGCCGCGGGGGGGAUGACGGCCUUCGGGUUGUAAACUCCUUUCGCUAGGGACGAAGCUUUUUGUGACGGUACCUAGAUAAGAAGCACCGGCUAACUACGUG